GACGAGCGCUGGCGGCGUGCUUAACACAUGCAAGUCGAACGGUAAGGCCCUUCGGGGUACACGAGUGGCGAACGGGUGAGUAACACGUGGGUGAUCUGCCCUGCACUUCGGGAUAAGCCUGGGAAACUGGGUCUAAUACCGGAUAGGACCACUGCCUGCAUGGGUGGUGGUGGAAAGCUUUUGCGGUGUGGGAUGGGCCCGGGGCCUAUCAGCUUGUUGGUGGGGUGAUGGCCUACCAAGGCGUCGACGGGUAGCCGGCCUGGGAGGGUGACCGGCCACACUGGGACUGGGAUACGGCCCAGACGCCUACGGGAGGCAGCAGUGGGGAAUAUUGCACAAUGGGCGCAAGCCUGAUGCAGCGACGCCGCGUGAGGGAUGACGGCCUUCGGGUUGUAAACCUCUUUCAGCACCGACGAAGCGCAAGUGACGGUAGGUGCAGAAGAAGGACCGGCCAACUACGUGCCAGCAGCCGCCGUAA
rnacentral:rRNA from 1 species